ensembl:lincRNA
GCUUGUAAUCCCAGCACUUUGAGAGGCCGAUGCAGGCGGAUCACCUGAGGUCAGGAGUUCGAGACUAGCCUGGCCAACAUGGUGAAACUUUGUCUCUACUAAAAAUACAAAAAUCAGCCAGGCGUGGUGGCGAGUGCCUGUAGUCGCAGCUACUCGGGAGGCUGAGGCAGGAGAAUCGCGUGAACCUGGGAUGCGGAGGUUGCAGUGAGCUGAGAUCAUGCCGCUGCACCCCAGCCUGGGAGACAGAGGGAGACUUGGUCUCAAAAAAAAAAAAAAGAAAAAAAGAAAAGUCCCUAACUAGGUAAGAAAGUAAGGACUCGGUAAGGGAGUAGUUGUGUUUCUUUUUUGUCUUCCACAAAAUACGCUGAGGGAGCUUUGCGCUCCCUCUUCAGACAAUGCUGCUGAGCCAGGCAGGGUGCUGAACCUGCCCUGGUCGGGGGUGGUGCCGUGGAGGGUGCACUUCAGCUUGGAGCACACUCAGGAGAGUUAGUCUGCAGGGAGUGGGCCGGCCUGUUUAUUACCAUUGUUGUCGAGCUCCCAGCACUUGGGUGGGUCAGAAUGCAGGGAGGGAAGCAGCGCCAUUUAUUGUAGUUGUCAGGCUCAGAAGUGAGCAAGACGGAGUUCUUUCCCUAUGGAACUUAUAUUCAGAUCCUGAUGCAGAGGUGUGCCUUCAUGUACUGAGGCUUGUCCAGUCUGUGGUUCUGGAACCUGAAGUCUUCUCCAAGUCGGCCUCUGAGUUCCGGAGCUCCCUGCCCCUGCAACGCAUCCUGGCCAUGUCCAAGAGCCGCAACCCCCGCCUGCAAACCGCAGCCCAGGAGCUCCUGGAAGAUCUCCGCACUCUGCAGCAUAAUGUCCCCAGCAGAUGCAACACUAUAUCACUACCCGCCUCUCCUCUGGACUGGGGACACCAUGCAGGUGGCAGUCACAUCCACCCAGGGGUGCCUCCGAAGGUUUGCAGACUGGACAGACGCAGGACCCUCCAUCCAGCCUCCUGUGGAUUAGAAGGCCUCUCUGUGAUGCCUCUGCACCUGUGUUGGGACCGUGUCCCAGUAGCAUUCAUGCACAUUGGCGCUGACUGAGCCAGGCUGCGGACCAGCUGCACAGCGGCAGCCUGCGGAUGACUCACAGGUGGGCUGAGCCCUGCAGAUGCCCUGGGUGGGCCUCAGGUACGACUUGGACAAGGUCUUCCAACUUCUGCUGGGGGCUUUUUGAGUCUCACCCAAAUUCUCACUCUUCUCACUCUGGGCAGUGUCCCUGUUCUACCCUCGCCCCAUUCUAACCGGGCUUGGGGAGGAGCGGGGAGGCUCCUCUCACAGGGCAGCUUUUGUCCCUCUCUUCUCCCACCCCAGAAGGUGCGCCUGGCACCGCCCACCCUGGCUUCCUUGGUUCUGAGCUUUCAGGGGACACAGACAUGCGGCUGACUUUGUCUGGGCCAUGGGAGCCCCAGGCCAGGCCGCAUCCCUCUCCAGGCUGUGCAGCCACCGUCCCCGCUCUCAGCCGUCAGUCACUACGUGACAGAUGAACAGCAGUUGGAGGCUCAGUGCCCAGGUACAGUGCCCUCCCUUAUCCUCAGGGGAUGCAUUCCGAGACCCCUGGUGGAUGUCUGAAUCCGCAGAUAGUAUUGAACCCUAGAUAGACCAUGUUUUGUCCUGUACAUGCAUACGUGUGAUAAAGUUUAAUUUAUAAAUUAGGCACAGUAAGAGACUAACAACAGUAGCUAAUAAUAGAAUAAUUAGAACAAUAAGCCAGCAUGACUCCUCUUCUGCAUUAGGCUGUUACUAAGUAGGAUAAGGGUUACUUGAACUCAGGUGCUGUGAUACCACGAGACUUGGUCUGAUCAUCAGGGCAGCUACAGCUGGACACGGUGGUGCACACCUGUAAUCCCAGCACUUCAGGAGGCUGAGGUGGGCAGAUCACUUGAGGCCAGGAGUUUGAGACCAGCCUGGCCAACAUGGUGAAACCCCAUCUCUACUAAAAACACAAAAAUUAUCUAGGUGUGGUGGUGCGCACGCCUGUAAUCCCAGCUGCUCUGGAGGCUGAGGCAGGAGACUCACUUGAACCUGGGAGGCGGAGGUUGCAGUGAGCUGAGAUUGUGCCACUGCACUCCAGCCUGGGUACAGAGCAAGACUCCAUCUCAAAAAAAAAAAAAAAAAAAAAAAAAAAAAAAAAAAAAAAAAGACAGCUACAAUGUGACUAGUGGGCAGGUCAAAUAGACACUGUGGAGAUGCUGGACAAUGGAUGCUACACGUCCCGGGUAAGACAGAGCAGGAUGGCAGGGAUUUCAUUCCGCCACUCAGAAUGACGAGCAAUCAAAAACUUGUAAAUUGCUUAUUUUUGGAAUUUUUUACUUAAUAUUUUCAGACUGCAGUUGACCUCAGGACACUGAACCACGGAAAGUGAAACCGUGGAUAAGGGGGAACAAGUGUGCUUCCCAAAGUCACAGUGCGCUUAGAGGAGGCCCUCCUACCCCAUCCUCCUACCCCAUCCUCCCCUCAGACAGAGACUGAGUGUUGUGCAGGUUUCUACUGGGUCCUCUGGGAGGGCAGAGCCUGGGGUGAAGU